ACUCGUUGCUUUCCAGCGUGGGAUUCCGCCCUUUUCAGAUAGGGGCGAGCGUGGUGAGAAGUGGAGGAUGGGCCAUCGCAAUGGGGUUUCCAUGUCGAGAUGUGGCUGUUGGCCGCGUCAGAAACGGUUUUCGCCUUCGAUGGAGCUGCGGCAAAAGCCAUCUCGUCGCAGCGAUCUCGAUUGGACAUGGAAUCGUUCGAUUGGUGGAUCAAGAACAGACGAGGUUAGAUCGCUCGUGCACACGAAUUCUUAGCUCCUUCGAACUGAGGUGUCGAACUCUUCAGAGCAAGACGUAAGGAUGAACGUGAAAGAAAAGACGAAACAUUUGUGCAUGGCCUCGCACCUGGAAAGAUGAAGAAGCUGUUCCGAAGACGAAACCACUGGGGAAGUCAGCCCUACUAAUAGCAUCACUGGUUGCAAUGAAGCAGAAGAUGAAACAGAGUGUUGCCGACGCUGCCAUCGGUAACUCCCAAUGCCAGAGAGGCUUGUGUUUGUUAAAAGCAGAGGAGUGCUGGGUGCAAUUUCGGUGGAGUGCUUCAGAAUUCAUGCGUUGUUGCCGAAGCUUCAAGGAGAUCGAAUGGACCAAUGUGAUUUGCUGGGAUCGGAUAUGAAGAGAAGGACAUUUCGUUUAAUUAACAUACAUUAUAAAUAUAAUUAAAUUUUAAUUAUAGUUAUCAGUCAAUAAAAAGAAGUCUAAUUAUAUUCCUUA